rnacentral:lncRNA from 1 species
ACAUCUGGGCUGCUAGCUGCAUGAAGGAGCUACCCGCUGUGGGUCUCCUCUUUGCUGACAGCUGGACACUUGACAGAAUGACCUGCCUGAACUCGGGACCUGCAGAAUGAUGGGACUGAAGAAGCUGUAACACAAACAGGGCUAAAACACGCACUCUCCUCCCCCUGCUCCCCACCGCCCCACCCACUUGCCACAUUGGAGGUGAUGAGAAGGAGAGAAGAGCUGUGGCCUUUCAGGGAGCAUAGUCCCAGGGGCUCCCUGAGCCAGGGCUGUGAAACCCUCUUCCGGGCACUGCAGUUCCUGGCAUCUCCAAACUUCUGAGUGCCACCGCAUUCCCCGCGUCCGGAUGCAGAAAUUGCCACAACCAUCUCCAGCUUUAGCAAUGACCAUCCUGAUCAGACAGUGGCCAUCCACAGUGAGGCAAGACCCUCUACCAGCAAAAUGAAUGCAACAUGCUAAAGGCUCAGGUCAAUGCACAGAAAGAAAUCUCUCUCCUGACUUUAGUACAAUGGCACGAUUGGUGGCCACAGUCCAAGGAU